rnacentral:rRNA from 1 species
GUGGGGAAUAUUCCGCAAUGGACGAAAGUCUGACGGAGCAACGCCGCGUGAGUGAUGAAGGUUUUCGGACUGUAAAGCUCUGUUGUUUGGGACGAAAGUGCCUGUUGCGAACAGUUACGGGUAUUGACGGUACUAAACGAGGAAGCCACGGCUAACUACGUGCCAGCAGCCGCGGUAAUACGUAGGUGGCAAGCGUUGUCCGGAAUUAUUGGGCGUAAAGAGCAUGUAGGCGGGAAUCUAAGUCUGUUGUGAAAAUGCGGGGCUCAACCCCGUAGUGCGAUGGAAACUGGGUUUCUUGAGUGCAGGAGAGGAAAGGGGAAUUCCCAGUGUAGCGGUGAAAUGCGUAGAUAUUGGGAGGAACACCAGUGGCGAAGGCGCCUUUCUGGACUGUGUCUGACGCUGAGAUGCGAAAGCCAGGGUAGCGAACGGGAUUAGAAACCCUAGUAGUCC